rnacentral:rRNA from 1 species
UACGAAGGGGGCUAGCGUUGCUCGGAAUCACUGGGCGUAAAGCGCACGUAGGCGGCUUCUUAAGUCAGGGGUGAAAUCCUGGAGCUCAACUCCAGAACUGCCUUCGAUACUGGAAGACUUGAGUCCGGGAGAGGUGAGUGGAACUGCGAGUGUAGAGGUGAAAUUCGUAGAUAUUCGCAAGAACACCAGUGGCGAAGGCGGCGACCUGGGCAGAUACUGACACUGAGGUGCGAAAGCGUGGGGAGCAAACAGGG